GGCUCUUUGGCGAUGUGGUCAGCGUGCGCGGGCUCUUACCUGGGAGUUUGGGGUUCAAUUCCCCGCCUAGGGCCC